GGGCGCACGGUGGAUGCCUUGACACUAGGAGUCGAUGAAGGACGGGACUAACGCCGAUAUGCUUCGGGGAGCUGUAAGUAAGCUUUGAUCCGAAGAUUUCCGAAUGGGGAAACCCACCAUACGUAAUGGUAUGGUAUCCUUAUCUGAAUACAUAGGAUAAGGAAGACAGACCCAGGGAACUGAAACAUCUAAGUACCUGGAGGAAGAGAAAGCAAAUGCGAUUUCCUGAGUAGCGGCGAGCGAAACGGAACAUAGCCCAAACCAAGAGGCUUGCCUCUUGGGGUUGUAGGACAUUCUAUACGGAGUUACAAAGGAACGAGGUAGACGAAGCGACCUGGAAAGGUCCGUCGUAGAGGGUAACAACCCCGUAGUCGAAACUUCGUUCUCUCUUGAAUGUAUCCUGAGUACGGCGGAACACGUGAAAUUCCGUCGGAAUCUGGGAGGACCAUCUCCCAAGGCUAAAUACUCCCUAGUGAUCGAUAGUGAACCAGUACCGUGAGGGAAAGGUGAAAAGCACCCCGGAAGGGGAGUGAAAGAGAUCCUGAAACCGUGUGCCUACAAAUAGUCAGAGCCCGUUAACGGGUGAUGGCGUGCCUUUUGUAGAAUGAACCGGCGAGUUACGAUCCCGUGCGAGGUUAAGCUGAAGAGGCGGAGCCGCAGCGAAAGCGAGUCUGAAUAGGGCGUUUAGUACGUGGUCGUAGACCCGAAACCAGGUGAUCUACCCAUGUCCAGGGUGAAGUUCAGGUAACACUGAAUGGAGGCCCGAACCCACGCACGUUGAAAAGUGCGGGGAUGAGGUGUGGGUAGCGGAGAAAUUCCAAUCGAACCUGGAGAUAGCUGGUUCUCCCCGAAAUAGCUUUAGGGCUAGCCUUAAGUGUAAGAGUCUUGGAGGUAGAGCACUGAUUGGACUAGGGGUCCUCAUCGGAUUACCGAAUUCAGUCAAACUCCGAAUGCCAAUGACUUAUCCUUAGGAGUCAGACUGCGAGUGAUAAGAUCCGUAGUCAAAAGGGAAACAGCCCAGACCGCCMGCUAAGGUCCCAAAGUGUGUAUUAAGUGGAAAAGGAUGUGGAGUUGCUUAGACAACUAGGAUGUUGGCUUAGAAGCAGCCACCAUUUAAAGAGUGCGUAAUAGCUCACUAGUCGAGUGACUCUGCGCCGAAAAUGUACCGGGGCUAAAUACACCACCGAAGCUGCGGAUUGAUACCAAUGGUAUCAGUGGUAGGGGAGCGUUCUAAGGACAGUGAAGUCAGACCGGAAGGACUGGUGGAGUGCUUAGAAGUGAGAAUGCCGGUAUGAGUAGCGAAAGACGGGUGAGAAUCCCGUCCACCGAAUGCCUAAGGUUUCCUGAGGAAGGCUCGUCCGCUCAGGGUUAGUCAGGACCUAAGCCGAGGCCGACAGGCGUAGGCGAUGGACAACAGGUUGAUAUUCCUGUACCACCUCUUUAUCGUUUGAGCAAUGGAGGGACGCAGAAGGAUAGAAGAAGCGUGCGAUUGGUUGUGCACGUCCAAGCAGUUAGGCUGAUAAGUAGGCAAAUCCGCUUAUCGUAAAGGCUGAGCUGUGAUGGGGAAGCUCCUUAUGGAGCGAAGUCUUUGAUUCCCCGCUGCCAAGAAAAGCUUCUAGCGAGAUAAAAGGUGCCUGUACCGCAAACCGACACAGGUAGGCGAGGAGAGAAUCCUAAGGUGUGCGAGAGAACUCUGGUUAAGGAACUCGGCAAAAUGACCCCGUAACUUCGGGAGAAGGGGUGCUUUCUUAACGGAAAGCCGCAGUGAAUAGGCCCAAGCGACUGUUUAGCAAAAACACAGCUCUCUGCGAAGCCGUAAGGCGAAGUAUAGGGGGUGACACCUGCCCGGUGCUGGAAGGUUAAGGAGAGGGGUUAGCGUAAGCGAAGCUCUGAACUGAAGCCCCAGUAAACGGCGGCCGUAACUAUAACGGUCCUAAGGUAGCGAAAUUCCUUGUCGGGUAAGUUCCGACCCGCACGAAAGGUGUAACGAUUUGGGCACUGUCUCAACCAGAGACUCGGUGAAAUUAUAGUACCUGUGAAGAUGCAGGUUACCCGCGACAGGACGGAAAGACCCCGUGGAGCUUUACUGUAGCCUGAUAUUGAAUUUUGGUACAGUUUGUACAGGAUAGGCGGGAGCCUUUGAAACCGGAGCGCUAGCUUCGGUGGAGGCGCUGGUGGGAUACCGCCCUGACUGUAUUGAAAUUCUAACCUACGGGUCUUAUCGACCCGGGAGACAGUGUCAGGUGGGCAGUUUGACUGGGGCGGUCGCCUCCUAAAGUGUAACGGAGGCGCCCAAAGGUUCCCUCAGAAUGGUUGGAAAUCAUUCGUAGAGUGCAAAGGCAUAAGGGAGCUUGACUGCGAGACCUACAAGUCGAGCAGGGACGAAAGUCGGGCUUAGUGAUCCGGUGGUUCCGCAUGGAAGGGCCAUCGCUCAACGGAUAAAAGCUACCCCGGGGAUAACAGGCUUAUCUCCCCCAAGAGUCCACAUCGACGGGGAGGUUUGGCACCUCGAUGUCGGCUCAUCGCAUCCUGGGGCUGUAGUCGGUCCCAAGGGUUGGGCUGUUCGCCCAUUAAAGCGGUACGCGAGCUGGGUUCAGAACGUCGUGAGACAGUUCGGUCCCUAUCCGUCGUGGGCGUAGGAAAUUUGAGAGGAGCUGUCCUUAGUACGAGAGGACCGGGAUGGACGCACCGCUGGUGUACCAGUUGUUCUGCCAAGGGCAUAGCUGGGUAGCUAUGUGCGGAAGGGAUAAGUGCUGAAAGCAUCUAAGCAUGAAGCCCCCCUCAAGAUGAGAUUUCCCAUAGCGUAAGCUAGUAAGAUCCCUGAAAGAUGAUCAGGUUGAUAGGUUCGAGGUGGAAGCAUGGUGACAUGUGGAGCUGACGAAUACUAAUAGAUCGAGGACUUAACCAU
rnacentral:rRNA from 1 species